UUUGAUUUAACAGGUUGAGAGGUAGUGUGUUUUGAUUUAACAGGUUGAGAGGUAGUGUGUUUUGAUUUAACAGGUUGAGAGGUAGUGUGUUUUGAUUUAACAGGUUGAGAGGUAGUGUGUUUUGAUUUAACAGGUUGAGAGGUAGUGUGUUUUGAUUUAAGGGUAGUGAGAGGUAGUGUGUUUUGAUUUAAGGGUAGUGAGAGGUAGUGUGUUUUGAUUUAAGGGUAGUGAGAGGUAGUGUGUUUUGAUUUAAGGGUAGUGAGAGGUAGUGUGUUUUGAUUUAAGGGUAGUGAGAGGUAGUGUGUUUUGAUUUAACAGGUUGAGAGGUAGUGUGUUUUGAUUUAAGGGUAGUGAGAGGUAGUGUGUUUUGAUUUAAGGGUAGUGAGAGGUAGUGUGUUUUGAUUUAAGGGUAGUGAGAGGUAGUGUGUUUUGAUUUAAGGGUGGUGAGAGGUAGUGUGUUUUGAUUUAAGGGUAGUGAGAGGUAGUGUGUUUUGAUUUAAGGGUAGUGAGAGGUAGUGUGUUUUGAUUUAAGGGUAGUGAGAGGUAGUGUGUUUUGAUUUAAGGGUAGUGAGACGUAGUGUGUUUUGAUUUAAGGGUAGUGAGAGGUAGUGUGUUUUGAUUUAAGGGUAGUGAGAGGUAGUGUGUUUUGAUUUAAGGGUAGUGAGAGGUAGUGUGUUUUGAUUUAAGGGUAGUGAGAGGUAGUGUGUUUUGAUUUAAGGGUGGUGAGAGGUAGUGUGUUUUGAUUUAAGGGUAGUGAGAGGUAGUGUGUUUUGAUUUAAGGGUAGUGAGAGGUAGUGUGUUUUGAUUUAAGGGUGGUGAGAGGUAGUGUGUUUUGAUUUAAGGGUAGUGAGAGGUAGUGUGUUUUGAUUUAAGGGUAGUGAGAGGUAGUGUGUUUUGAUUUAAGGGUAGUGAGAGGUAGUGUGUUUUGAUUUAAGGGUAGUGAGAGGUAGUGUGUUUUGAUUUAAGGGUAGUGAGAGGUAGUGUGUUUUGAUUUAAGGGUAGUGAGAGGUAGUGUGUUUUGAUUUAAGGGUAGUGAGAGGUAGUGUGUUUUGAUUUAAGGGUAGUGAGAGGUAGUGUGUUUUGAUUUAAGGGUAGUGAGAGGUAGUGUGUUUUGAUUUAAGGGUAGUGAGAGGUAGUGUGUUUUGAUUUAAGGGUAGUGAGAGGUAGUGUGUUUUGAUUUAAGGGUAGUGAGAGGUAGUGUGUUUUGAUUUAAGGGUAGUGAGAAGUAGUGCAUCUGUGUUUUGAUUUAAGGGUAGUGAGAGGUGUGUUUUGAUUUAAGGGUAGUGAGAAGUAGUGCAUCUGUGUUUU